UACACUCCUGCGGGAGGCAGCAGUGGGGAAUUUUGGACAAUGGGCGAAAGCCUGAUCCAGCCAUGCCGCGUGCAGGAUGAAGGCCUUCGGGUUGUAAACUGCUUUUGUACGGAACGAAACGGCCUUUUCUAAUAAAGAGGGCUAAUGACGGUACCGUAAGAAUAAGCACCGGCUAACUACGUGCCAGCAGCCGCGGUAAUACGUAGGGUGCAAGCGUUAAUCGGAAUUACUGGGCGUAAAGCGUGCGCAGGCGGUUAUGUAAGACAGUUGUGAAAUCCCCGGGCUCAACCUGGGAACUGCAUCUGUGACUGCAUAGCUAGAGUACGGUAGAGGGGGAUGGAAUUCCGCGUGUAGCAGUGAAAUGCGUAGAUAUGCGGAGGAACACCGAUGGCGAAGGCAAUCCCCUGGACCUGUACUGACGCUCAUGCACGAAAGCGUGGGGAGCAAACAGGAUUAGAUACCCCGGUAGUCCCA
rnacentral:rRNA from 1 species